ensembl:snRNA U6 U6 spliceosomal RNA
GCUCACUUUGGAAGCAAAUACUAAAAUUGGAAUAAUACAGAGAAUAUUAUCAUGGCCCCUUGCACAAGGAUGACACACAAAUUUGUGAAGUACUCUAUAUUUUU